GACGGAGGAUGCAAGUGUUAUCCGGAAUCACUGGGCGUAAAGCGUCUGUAGGUGGUCAAAUAAGUCAACUGUUAAAUCUUGAGGCUCAACCUCAAAAUCGCAGUCGAAACUAUUAGACUAGAGUAUAGUAGGGGUAAAGGGAAUUUCCAGUGGAGCGGUGAAAUGCGUAGAGAUUGGAAAGAACACCGAUGGCGAAGGCACUUUACUAGGCUAUUACUAACACUCAGAGACGAAAGCUAGGGUAGCAAAUGGG
rnacentral:rRNA from 1 species